rnacentral:lncRNA from 1 species
GGAAAGUUUCAAUGAUCAUUAGAAAUACAGGUGAUGGACAUUCAAGAAACAUCGUUCUCUUUUAAAACACAAUAUUCUGUUUUGUUUUUGUUUUUGUUUUUAAAGAUCCCUGUCUUUUUGUACAUUCCUUAAUAUCUAGUAUUUGUUCCAACACAAUGUUGGUAGCCAGAAGCCACAGACCUGAGGUUGGCAACUCUUAGAGAAUGCAGCUUUCUUCUAUAGAACAGUAAGUUGCUACGGUUCAGCCAAAUUCUGUCUAAUAAAAGGCACAGAUCUCCCUCUGCGCCCCGGCUUGGGCAGGUAACUCACCAGUUCAGCUCCCUCUCCACCGCGCUCUGUGGAAACUGAAAGUGGCCACUGAGCGGGCGCUGUUCGCUAGUUCAUAGAAUCUACUGCCGCUGCCGAGAAAUCACGUGGAUUCAAAGUGCCAGCCCCAGGGCGCGCGGGUAGCGUGCCCGGAACCCGCCGCGGCUUGGAGAUCGCAGCGGGACGUGCCUCUCUGACUACUGAGACUAGAGACGAUGUAGGAUGAAGGCAGGAGGAGCCACUGAGCAAAACUUCGUGGAGUUGGGUCCAGGGUCCAGUGGCGACAGCGGCUCAUCACCUGAGACCUGACCUGGACAAGCACGGUCUCCAGGUGUGUCUCUGCUGGUCCCUGGGUGCAAGGGUUGCCUAGGCUACAGAAGAAAGCUUGGUGCAGGGAUAAGGGAUGGAAAGAGGUGGGCGGUAAGAAAAGGACUACAGGGCCAGCGUCAGCCCUGGAAAGUUUCUGUCUCUGUUCCAAGUUCUACAACCUGCCCUGCCUCUUGUCUUUGUCCCAGAACAGGAGGCCAGGCUCCUCCUGAGGAUGGUUUCUGUGACAUCCCACAGUGACGCAACUUUCCCAGAAUGCUCUGGGGGAGGAAUGGGGAGACAGUGCAUUAGCACUGUAGGGCAGGGUCAGCAGCACACCCAUGACCCCCAAACCUCAGGCUCAAGUCCUCCUUUUAAGUGCUGGCUACAUCACCUUAGGCCAGUGGUUCUCAGCCUUCCUGAUGCUGGAACCCUUUAAUACUGCAGCCUCGUGCUGUGCUGACCCCCAACCAUAACAUUAUUCUCAUUGCUACUUCAUAGCUGUAAUUUUGCUACUGUUACGAAUCAUAAUGAAAUCAUUUGACUUGGCAGAGGUUGGGUCCCCCAGAUUGAGAAACACCGCCCUAGACAAAAGUCUUGACUCUGAGUUUCAGUUCUGUCAUCUGUCCUGAGGACCAGAGAAGGAGCACCUUCCAAUUCCUUCAGAAGAAGUUAGAGCAGAUGUGGUGUGUGCCCAAAACUCUUAAGAAAUCCUUCUAUGUUAGUCCCCUUCUUUGGAUCUCAAAUUCCUAUGACCUUCUAACCUCCUCCCUCCUGGGACCGAGCCGGAAAUCUAGAAAGUUCUUGACAGGCAAGUGUGUGUGUGUGUGUGUGUGUGUGUGUGUGUGUGUGUGUGAUUAUUAUUUUGACUGAUUACUUGUGUGUGACUCUUAGCUUUCCCAACCUUACCUGGCUCACCUCUUACAAAUAGAUGCCUUGUUUUU